rnacentral:rRNA from 1 species
UGCGUAGGCUGAAUCGUAAGUCAGAUGUGAAAGCCCGGGGCUUAACCCCGGAAUUGCAUUUGAAACUGCGUUUCUAGAGGGUAGGCGGAGAAAACGGAAUUCCACGUGUAGCGGUGAAAUGCGUAGAUAUGUGGAGGAACACCGGUGGCGAAGGCGGUUUUCUAGCUUAUACCUGACGCUGAGGCACGAAAGCAAGGGGAGCAAACA